UACAGAGGGUGCGAGCGUUGUCCGGAAUCACUGGGUUUAAAGGGUGCGUAGGUGGGCAGGUAAGUCAGUGGUGAAAUCUUCGAGCUUAACUCGGAAACUGCCGUUGAUACUAUCUGUCUUGAAUGUUGUGGAGGUGAGCGGAAUAUGUCAUGUAGCGGUGAAAUGCUUAGAUAUGACAUAGAACACCCAUUGCGAAGGCAGCUCACUACGCAAAUAUUGACACUGAGGCACGAAAGCGUGGGGAUCAAACAGG
rnacentral:rRNA from 1 species